rnacentral:rRNA from 1 species
GAUGAACGUUGGCGGUGUGCCUAAUACAUGCAAGUCGAACGGAGAUUGUAGCAAUACGGUCUUAGUGGCGAACGGGUGAGUAACGCGUUGGUGAUCUGCCUCGAAGUGUGGAAUAACGAUUCGAAAGAAUCGCUAAUACCGCAUAGUCUCUCUUUUUCCAGAAAUUUGAGAGUAAAGGAUUUAUUCGCUUUGAGAGGAGCCUGCGUCCCAUCAGCUAGUUGGUAAGGUAAUGGCCUACCAAGGCGAUGACGGGUAGGGGACCUGAGAGGGUGGCCCCCCACAAUGGAACUGAAACACGGUCCAUACACCUACGGGUGGCAGCAGUAGGGAAUAUUAGAAAUGGACGAAAGUCUGAUCUAGCAACACCGCGUGUGCGAAGAAGGCCUUCGGUUGUAAAGCACUUUUUGGAAGGAUUAGGAAGGAAUGUACUUCCAGAAUAAGUCUCGGCUAACUACGUG